rnacentral:rRNA from 1 species
CAGUCGCCGCGGUAAUACGUAGGGUGCAAGCGUUAAUCGGAAUUACUGAGCGUAAAGCGUGCGCAGGCGGUUCCGCAAGUCAGAUGUGAAAUCCCCGGGCUCAACCUGGGAACUGCAUUUGAAACUACGGGGCUAGAGUGUGUCAGAGGGGGGUGGAAUUCCACGUGUAGCAGUGAAAUGCGUAGAGAUGUGGAGGAACACCAAUGGCGAAGGCAGCCCCCUGGGAUGACACUGACGCUCAUGCACGAAAGCGUGGGGAGCAAACAGGAUUAGAUACCCGUGUAGUCCCUGUCUCUUAUAA